rnacentral:tRNA from 1 species
GCCCCGGUGGUGAAACGGAAUCACUCCUCGGUCCUAACGAGACGUUCCGGGUUCGACUCCUGGUCGGGGUA